rnacentral:rRNA from 1 species
UACGAAGGGGGCAAGCGUUGUUCGGAAUUACUGGGCGUAAAGGGCGCGUAGGCGGCUUAUCAAGUCAGGCGUGAAAUUCCCGGGCUCAACCUGGGGGCUGCGCUUGAUACUGAUGAGCUUGAAUGCGGGAGAGGAUCGUGGAAUUCCCAGUGUAGAGGUGAAAUUCGUAGAUAUUGGGAAGAACACCGGUGGCGAAGGCGGCUAUCUGGCCCGUAAUUGACGCUGAGGCGCGAAAGCGCGGGGAGCAAACAGG